GAAAUGCGAUAAGUAAUGCGAAUUGCAGAAUUCAGUGAAACAUCGAAUCUUUGAACGCACAUUGCGCCCCCCAGUACUCUGGGAGGCACGCCUGUCUGAGCGUCAUUUCAACCCUCGCGCCCCGGCCUCUGUGGCCCGGCGCGGUGUUGGGGAUCGGCCGCCCGCCAGCGGGAGGCCGGCCCCUAAAUCCAGUGGCGACCACGCCGUAGCCUCCUCCGCGUAGUAGUUUACACACCUCGCGGGCGGAGAGCGGCGCGGCCCUGCCGUAAAACACCCAUCAUCUCACAAGGUUGACCUCAGAUCAGGUGGGAAUACCCGCUGAACUUAAGCAUAUCAAUAAGCGGAGGACUGUCUCUUAAGCCCACGAGACGC
rnacentral:misc_RNA from 1 species